rnacentral:rRNA from 1 species
GCCAGCAGCCAUAUCACCCUGCAACUCACAGCUGGCAGCCCACUGAAGCUCAGCAGGUGUGAGCCUGGUCAGUACCUGGAUGGGAGACCUCCUGGGAAAAGCUGCUGCUGCUGGAA